rnacentral:pre_miRNA from 1 species
AGCCUUCUGUAUCCGUGCUGAGAUUUCGUCACACACCAGACCACAAGGGCUGAUGAGACUUCAAGAAGCAGUUGAUACG